rnacentral:tRNA from 1 species
UGUCCGGGCCCACGGCCUCUCGGAGGGCGCCGAGGUCCAGGCCCUCGUCGAUGUCGGUGUGCAGCACCCGCAGUUCGAGGCCGCGCUGGGCGGCCA